rnacentral:misc_RNA from 1 species
AGUGCAUCCAAAUUUAGGGCCCGGCUUGUAGAAAGCGCAGCAUUAACCUGUUCAGUUGUUCUGAUCUGAUCUUUUGUACGUCCAAGCAAAUCAUAACCCCCUUGGUUUUUAUAUGUAGCAAGAAUAUCAUCGGAGAUUUCCAAAGUUUUCUUUGCAAAUAAACCUUCAGUGCCACCAAGAAAUCCAAGGAGAACACUCUUAGGGUUAUGAGAUUUAAUGGCAUCAUGAAGACCCCAAAUGACAUUGUGUCCUCCAGGGGAUUGUCUCCCACAGAAAACUACACCAACCCUAAUGGCUGGGUG